rnacentral:rRNA from 1 species
UGCCAGCCGCCGCGGUAAUACGGAGGGUGCGAGCGUUAAUCGGAAUCACUGGGCGUAAAGCGCGCGUAGGUGGUUGUUCAAGUCGGAUGUGAAAGCCCUGGGCUUAACCUGGGAACUGCAUUCGAAACUGGAUAACUAGAGUGUGGUAGAGGGAAGUGGAAUUUCAGGUGUAGCGGUGAAAUGCGUAGAUAUCUGAAGGAACAUCAGUGGCGAAGGCGGCUUCCUGGACCAACACUGACACUGAGGUGCGAAAGCGUGGGUAGCAAACAGGAUUAGAUA